rnacentral:rRNA from 1 species
AAGGGGAGCAAUCCCUGAGUACAGUGGCGACCGGGUGAGUAACACGUGACUACCUGCCCUUGAGUGGGGGAUAACCUCGGGAAACCGAGGCUAAUACCGCAUAAUAUCGCAAGAUCAAAGGAGCAAUCCGCUUUUGGAGGGGGUCGCGGCUGAUUAGCUAGUUGGUAGGGUAAUGGCCUACCAAGGCGAAGAUCGGUAUCCGGCCUGAGAGGGCGCACGGACACACUGGAACUGAAACACGGUCCAGACUCCUACGGGAGGCAGCAGUGGGGAAUUUUGCGCAAUGGGGGAAACCCUGACGCAGCAACGCCGCGUGGAGGAUGAAGCCCCUUGGG